rnacentral:rRNA from 1 species
UCGAGCGGAAACGAGUUAUCUGAACCUUCGGGGGACGAUAACGGCGUCGAGCGGCGGACGGGUGAGUAAUGCCUAGGAAAUUGCCCUGAUGUGGGGGAUAACCAUUGGAAACGAUGGCUAAUACCGCAUGAUGCCUACGGGCCAAAGAGGGGGACCUUCGGGCCUCUCGCGUCAGGAUAUGCCUAGGUGGGAUUAGCUAGUUGGUGAGGUAAGGGCUCACCAAGGCGACGAUCCCUAGCUGGUCUGAGAGGAUGAUCAGCCACACUGGAACUGAGACACGGUCCAGACUCCUACGGGAGGCAGCAGUGGGGAAUAUUGCACAAUGGGCGCAAGCCUGAUGCAGCCAUGCCGCGUGUGUGAAGAAGGCCUUCGGGUUGUAAAGCACUUUCAGUCGUGAGGAAGGUAGUGUAGUUAAUAGCUGCAUUAUUUGACGUUAGCGACAGAAGAAGCACCGGCUAACUCCGUGCCAGCAGCCGCGGUAAUACGGAGGGUGCGAGCGUUAAUCGGAAUUACUGGGCGUAAAGCGCAUGCAGGUGGUUUGUUAAGUCAGAUGUGAAAGCCCGGGGCUCAACCUCGGAAUUGCAUUUGAAACUGGCAGACUAGAGUACUGUAGAGGGGGGUAGAAUUUCAGGUGUAGCGGUGAAAUGCGUAGAGAUCUGAAGGAAUACCGGUGGCGAAGGCGGCCCCCUGGACAGAUACUGACACUCAGAUGCGAAAGCGUGGGGAGCAAACAGGAUUAGAUACCCUGGUAGUCCACGCCGUAAACGAUGUCUACUUGGAGGUUGUGGCCUUGAGCCGUGGCUUUCGGAGCUAACGCGUUAAGUAGACCGCCUGGGGAGUACGGUCGCAAGAUUAAAACUCAAAUGAAUUGACGGGGGCCCGCACAAGCGGUGGAGCAUGUGGUUUAAUUCGAUGCAACGCGAAGAACCUUACCUACUCUUGACAUCCAGAGAACUUUCCAGAGAUGGAUUGGUGCCUUCGGGAACUCUGAGACAGGUGCUGCAUGGCUGUCGUCAGCUCGUGUUGUGAAAUGUUGGGUUAAGUCCCGCAACGAGCGCAACCCUU